rnacentral:rRNA from 1 species
AGAGUUUGAUCAUGGCUCAGGAUGAACGCUAGCGGGAGGCUUAACACAUGCAAGUCGAGGGGCAGCACGGGACUUCGGUUCUGGUGGCGACCGGCGCACGGGUGCGUAACGCGUAUGCAACCUGCCUUAUACAGAGGGAUAGCCCAUGGAAACGUGGAUUAAUACCUCAUGGUACUAUAAAUAUGCAUAUAUUAAUAGUUAAAACUUCGGUGGUAUAAGAUGGGCAUGCGUAUGAUUAGGUUGUUGGUGAGGUAACGGCUCACCAAGCCGACGAUCAUUAGGGGUUCUGAGAGGAUUAUCCCCCACACUGGUACUGAGACACGGACCAGACUCCUACGGGAGGCAGCAGUGAGGAAUAUUGGUCAAUGGACGAGAGUCUGAACCAGCCAUCCCGCGUGCAGGAUGACGGCCCUAUGGGUUGUAAACUGCUUUUCUAUGCCAAGAAACCCACCUACGUGUAGGUGGUUGACGGUAGCAUAGGAAUAAGCAUCGGCUAACUCCGUGCCAGCAGCCGCGGUAAUACGGAGGAUGCAAGCGUUAUCCGGAUUCAUUGGGUUUAAAGGGUGCGCAGGCGGGCUUGUAAGUCAGUGGUGAAAUACUGCCGCUUAACGGUAGAACUGCCAUUGAUACUGCAAGUCUUGAAUAUGGUUGAGGUAGGCGGAAUGUGUCGUGUAGCGGUGAAAUGCAUAGAUAUGACACAGAACGCCAAUUGCGAAGGCAGCUUACUAAGCCAUUAUUGACGCUGAGGCACGAAAGCGUGGGGAGCGAACAGGAUUAGAUACCCUGGUAGUCCACGCCGUAAACGAUGUUCACUCGCUGUCUGCGAUACACAGUAGGCGGCUGAGCGAAAGCAUUAAGUGAACCACCUGGGGAGUACGAUCGCAAGGUUGAAACUCAAAGGAAUUGACGGGGGCCCGCACAAGCGGAGGAACAUGUGGUUUAAUUUCGAUGAUACGCGAAGAACCUUACCUGGGCUUAAAUGUAGAUUGCAUAGAGUAGAAAUAUUCUUUCCCUUCGGGCCUAUUUACAAGGUGCUGCAUGGUUGUCGUCAGCUCGUGCCCUGAGGUGUCGGGUUAAGUCCCAUAACGAGCGCAACCCCUAUCGUUAGUUGCCAGC